CGCUUGGUCUCAGCCAAGCCAGUCCUGGAGGGAGGUCCGUGGUGGUUCGCGAGGGAAGAGGGACGAAGAAGAGCGCCGAUGAGCUCUGUUCUUGGAUCAGCUCCGCCUUCCUCUGAAAUUCAUCCAACUCUGAUCAUUGGAGUUCGAUUACUCGCUCCAGGAGUUAUCUCGGAGGUAUAACAAGCCGUCCAGAGUCUCGCGCAGCUGUCUGGAGCGCCAGCGCGCUGCUGCGAGUCGCGCCGCCCGCCGCCGUCGUCGUUUCCGGCCAGGUCGCACGUCAUUGCUUGGUUGGACGGGAACGUGGGUUCGCCGCCGAAGUGACCGCCAUUGUCCAGAUCUGAGUUCGUCGGUCGUUCUGGUUGCUGUAGAGCUCCGUUGGUCGCGACGGUGUUCUGGACUCAGAAUCUCUUCUCGAACAGAAACGAAUCACGUGAGCCAGAGGAGCCUGCAGUUGCUAAGGAGGAGUUAUAAGAGGACUUCGAUCAAGAAGAGUUGGGUGCUGGGGUUUUCUCUGAAGAAGGGGAUUCUGAGUGGGCUGACUUUGUUGACCAGCUAGGUCACACUUCCUGAGGCAAGCAGCUAUAUACACAGCCCUAUUUUCAUAAAUGCACUUUAUUAUCUUGUUAUCUGAAUGUUACGUUUAGGAGUUGUUUGAAACCCCUACCAUAAUCACUACCUUUCCCAGAGUCCUUACUAGGCACGUAGGCCGUUAGACUUGAUAUGCUUAUUAAUGCUCGGUUGCCAGUAGAAGACGAGUGAUGAAACAUCGCUCGCGAGAUCUAGGUUCUGUGAAAUAGUUCCCAUGAUAACGAUGGGGAUGUUGUAUUUCUUAAUAACUUGAUGGGGUAUUUCCCG